CAAACUUGGGACUGCAAAGCAACAACAUCACCAGCAAGCAAUCAACAUGAGGGUAUUCAAGGGUAGUGUAUGUGCGCUCCCAUUCAUCAUGGUUGUGAUUGCAUUGGCCACCGGAGGUGUGGGAGCGCUCACUAACAUCACUACGUAUGUUUUACCAGGUUGUGUUGUAGCAACUGGUACGUACUCCAGUUGUGGUCAGUGCCAGACUCUAGCAGUAGCAACUGGAGGUUACAAGAUUGGCUUUGAUGGAAAGCCUAUGCGGAUUUACACAUUACCAGCUUGUCAAGGUCAGGGUGCAGUGAUAGGGCAAGACCACGAAGCAUGUGGUGUGGCUACAGUUCCCAUCCUCAGCUUCUUUAUACGCUGCUGACAAUGUCCCUCUAGAUGGGCGCUGCAAGACCUCGUGAGAUGCUGUGUGAAUUUUCUUUCUCAUUUCCUAUUGAAUAAAUGAGAGACAGUUGUGUUUAGAGAAAUCACUGCCAAUUAUCAAUUUUCACGUGCUUGUUCAGUCUGCUUCCAUGGCAGCCUUGAACGCUCUAUGCGUAGUUUGAGAUGCUGGCGGGUCGACGC
rnacentral:lncRNA from 1 species